UACGAAGGGGGCUAGCGUUGUUCGGAAUCACUGGGCGUAAAGGGCGCGUAGGCGGCUGUUCAAGUCGGGGGUGAAAGCCUGUGGCUCAACCACAGAAUUGCCUUCGAUACUGGACGGCUCGAGACCGGAAGAGGUCAGUGGAACUGCGAGUGUAGAGGUGAAAUUCGUAGAUAUUCGCAAGAACACCAGUGGCGAAGGCGGCUGACUGGUCCGGGUUCUGACGCUGAGGCGCGAAAGCGUGGGGAGCAAACAGG
rnacentral:rRNA from 1 species